rnacentral:lncRNA from 1 species
UUCCCAAAUCGCCAAAUCCCUAAAAAUCAAAACACUCACUCCUGCGCCACCUUCAUUAUCGUUCUCCAAGUUCUUCAAUCAUUCUCCAAUCUCUUCACCUUAAAUUACUCGAUCCAAUCCCUUAAUCGUUCCCAUCGAGAGAAGCGAGAACCCUAGACGGCCGACCCUGAACGCCUCAUUGCCUCUGUACCGAACCUCCCCCUCACACUCCUGCGCUCCUCCGUUCUACCGGAGAUCGACUGC